AUCUUAUCCAAGAAUGAUCCGUAAUUAUUUAAUGAGGAUACCAAGAGCAAAUGUUGCAUUAGCCACAACAACCAAGAGCAAAUGUUGCAUUCAAAAUCAUCUUUUAAUCUUUUGAUUGUCUCAACAAAAUUGGUUGGUUCGUUAAUUUGUACAAGAGAAGCAAUUUCUCUCAUGGAGUUCGAAGACAGGGAGGGUCGUGAUAGACAAUGUAAUAUAAAAAUUAGAUUACUUAUGGUAAGAUUUAAAAAUUUGUAUAGUUGUUUAUAGUUUGAUUAUUGGUCAAAUUUAUUUGGAUAAUGUAAAUAUUUAUUUAUUUUAAUGUUAAUUGUAUGAUACAUUUGGAAUUA